GACGAACGCUGGCGGCGUGCUUAACACAUGCAAGUCGAACGAAGUGGCGAACGGGUGAGUAACGCGUAAUCAACCUGCCCUUCAGAGGGGGACAACAGUUGGAAACGACUGCUAAUACCGCAUACUGAAGGAGGGGAUUGCGUCUGAUUAGCUAGUUGGAGGGGUAACGGACCACCAAGGCGAUGAUCAGUAGCCGGGCUUGAGGGAUGAACGGCCACAAUGGGACCGGGACACGGCCCAGACUCCUACGGGAGGCAGCAGUUGGGAAAUUUCCGAAAUGGGGGAAAAUCUGAAUGAGGAACGCCGGGUGAGUGAUGACGGCCUUCGGGUUGUAAAACUCUUUUAAUCGGGACGCGGUACCGACAUAGAAAGCCACGGCUAACUACGUGCCAGCCGCCGCGGUAAUUC
rnacentral:rRNA from 1 species